GACGAACGCUGGCGGCGUGCUUAACACAUGCAAGUCGAACGGAAAGGCCCUGCUUGCAGGGUGCUCGAGUGGCGAACGGGUGAGUAACACGUGGGUGAUCUGCCCCUUACUUUGGGAUAAGCCUGGGAAACUGGGUCUAAUACUGGAUAGGACCAUGCUGUAGGUGGUGUGGUGGAAAGAUUAGUUUCGGUAAGGGAUGAGCUCGCGGCCUAUCAGCUUGUUGGUGGGGUAAUGGCCUACCAAGGCGUCGACGGGUAGCCGGCCUGAGAGGGUGGACGGCCACAUUGGGACUGGGAUGCGGCCCAGACUCCUACGGGAGGCAGCAGUGGGGAAUAUUGCACAAGGGGCGCAAGCCUGAUGCAGCGACGCCGCGUGGGGGAUGACGGCCUUCGGGUUGUAAACGCCUUUCAGCCAUGACGAAGCCCUUGUGGUGACGGUAGUGGUAGAAGAAGCACCGGCUAACUACGUG
rnacentral:rRNA from 1 species